UUUAUUUAAAUUUGGUAAAAAGAGGGGUCCUAGCAUGUUUACUACAUAGGGAGUUUUUUUUGGAUUCAGUGUUGUUUUGGGUUGUUUCCUAGUAGUUAGUUCUCCGUUUGAGGGGAGACCCUCCGGGGGUGUCUGGGGGAGAAGGGGUGAAUUCUCAGUGCCAGCAACUGCGGUUAUUCUGCAACCUUCUUUCCUUUUGGUUGGUUUAAAUCGUUCUGUAGUUAUUAUCGGAGGUUUGGUAGAAUCUCCUCCGGGUUAAUAUAAGCUACGGGGUUGGGGGUUUCGUCGCGCCUUGCAUUAGAAUAGGAUUAGAUACCCUAGUAUAGGGAUGCUAAGUUUUAUCCAUAGUAUUAACUAAAAAGUUUUGGCAGCCGAAGAAGUUCUUCUGGGGGAAUGUGCCUUGUAAAAGAUGGUCCGCUAACUAGCUUACCCCCCUUAGAUUGGUUAGUGUAUAUCCGAUUGGUUAUUCGUGGCUAGUGCCCAUGUGUGUUUGUUUUAUGUACAUAAGUCAGGUCAAUGUGCUGCUAAUGGGGGGGUUUUUGGUGCGUUACACUGUAAUAGCCUUCUUUGAAAUGAGGGGGUUUUUAGGACUCAGAAGUAGUCGGAAGCUAGGGCAUUCUGGCGAAUUUGACUUAUUUGGGGUACACACCGCCCGUCACUCACAGCGUUUAGUUGUGAAAAGUCGUAACAUGGUAAUGGUGGGGGAACCGGCCGUUAAUAUGCCUUUCUGGUUUAUUUGGUGGGCU
rnacentral:rRNA from 1 species